rnacentral:rRNA from 1 species
UGGGGAAUAUUGCACAAUGGGCGAAAGCCUGAUGCAGCAACGCCGCGUGAGUGAUGAAGGUCUUCGGAUUGUAAAGCUCUGUCUUUUGGGACGAUAAUGACGGUACCAAAGGAGGAAGCCACGGCUAACUACGUGCCAGCAGCCGCGGUAAUACGUAGGUGGCGAGCGUUGUCCGGAUUUACUGGGCGUAAAGGGUGCGUAGGCGGAUGUUUAAGUGAGAUGUGAAAUACCCGGGCUUAACUUGGGUGCUGCAUUUCAAACUGGAUAUCUAGAGUGCAGGAGAGGAGAAUGGAAUUCCUAGUGUAGCGGUGAAAUGCGUAGAGAUUAGGAAGAACACCAGUGGCGAAGGCGAUUCUCUGGACUGUAACUGACGCUGAGGCACGAAAGCGUGGGUAGCAAACAGGAUUAGAUACCCUGGUAGUCCACGCCGUAAACGAUGAGUACUAGGUGUAGGAGGUAUCGACCCCUUCUGUGCCGCAGUAAAC